rnacentral:tRNA from 1 species
GGGUCAUUAGCUCAGGUGGCAGAGCACCUGACUUUUAAUCAGGGUGCCGGAGGUUCGAGUCCUCCAUGACCCACCA